rnacentral:ncRNA from 1 species
AACCCGAUCACUUCAUACCUCCCUGUUGGACUAUGGCCGAGCUUAUUGCUCGGCCUUUUUU